GUAGGGCGCAAGCGUUAUCCGGAAUUAUUGGGCGUAAAGAGCUCGUAGGCGGUUUGUCGCGUCUGCCGUGAAAGUCCGGGGCUCAACUCCGGAUCUGCGGUGGGUACGGGCAGACUAGAGUGAUGUAGGGGAGACUGGAAUUCCUGGUGUAGCGGUGAAAUGCGCAGAUAUCAGGAGGAACACCGAUGGCGAAGGCAGGUCUCUGGGCAUUAACUGACGCUGAGGAGCGAAAGCAUGGGGAGCGAACAGGAUUAGAUACCCUGGUAGUCCAUGCCGUAAACGUUGGGCACUAGGUGUGGGGGACAUUCCACGUUCUCCGUACCGUAGCUAACGCAUUAAGUGCCCCGCCUGGGGAGUACGGCCGCAAGGCUA
rnacentral:rRNA from 1 species